rnacentral:rRNA from 1 species
GCCGCCGCGGUACCCCCAGCGCCACAAGUGGGAACCAUGUUUAUUGGGUCUAAAGCAUCCGUAGCCGGUUCUGCAAAUACCCUGUGAAAUCGUCCCGCUCAACGGGGCGGCGUGCAGGGUAGACUACAGGACUAGGGACCAGGUGAGGUGGACGGUAUUCCGUGGGGAGCGGUAAAAUGUGAUAAUCCUCGGAGGACCGCCAAUGGCGAAGGCAGUUCACCAAAAUGGAUCCGACGGUGAGGGAUGAAAGCUAGGGGAGCGAUCCGGAUUAGAUACCCGAGUAGUCCUAGCUGUAAACUCUGCGUGCCAGAUGUUGCGUAAUCUCCGAGAUUGCGCAGUGUCGUAACGAAGGUGUUAAGCACGCCACCUGGGAAGUACGGUCGCAAGGCUGAAACUUAAAGGAAUUGGCGGGGAGACACCACAACGGGUGCGGCGUGCGGUUUAAUCGUAUUCAACACCGAGAAUCUCACCAGGGGCGACGGCACAAUGACGCUCAGUCUGAAGGGCUUAGCUGAGGAGCCGAGAGGUGGUGCAUGGCCGCCGUCAGCUCGUGCCGUGAGGUGUCCUGUUAAGUCAGGCAACGAACGAGAUCCGCGCCUUUAUUUGCCAUCAAGAAGUCACGACUUCGUUGGGAACACUAAAGGGACCGCCGUCGAUAAGACGGAGGAAGGAGCGGGCAAAGGCAG